GAACACAUAGACUAGGGUUAGAGAGAAGAGUAAGAGAGAGAGACAGAUUAGAGGUGGAGAGAAAGGCAGAGCCGUCGUCCGGCUGGCCACUCUCUUGGCAGUGAUGAUGGUUGGGUGGUUUUGACGCGGCAAACGGUAGAGAAAGCAGCGAUGGACAGAGAGAGAGAGAGAGAGAGAGAGGGGAGCGGCGGUGAUGGAAAAACCGGCCACGUCUCCGACCGGCCACCCAUGGUGGUGGUGACGGCGACCGUGACGGUUGUGGCUUCUAGGUUUCGCUCGACAUUCUCGUGGAUUCCCAAGCCUAAAAGACCAGUGUGAGUCACAGAACCCCGAAUAUGGCCAGCCAGAGGCGUUGAGAGAGGAGAUGGAGGAGUUGCCGGCGGGAGAUUGGGAAUUACAGAAAUGCCUCUGGUGACCGUCCGUCGCUUUCUUUAUAAGGUUCGUUUUUUUCGUUUAGGUAUUAGAAUUUGUGCUUUAGUAGUUUUUGUGCUGCUGGUAUUUGACUGGGCCUAUUUGGUGGUGGAGGCCUCAUCACCAAAUGUGACAUGCGUUGUCUCAUCUGUAGGGGCAGUGGUAGAAAACCACCAAACCCUUCAAACAUCAAUCUCGUCGGUAUUAUAUCAGAGAAAGAGAGAGCGCAAUAGAAGAAUGCACAGAGAGAACCGCUUCCACGGUGGGUUGCGGCGGUGUUUCAUGGCGGUGGUUCUGCCGCCGGUGAUGGCGAUAGUUUGUCGAAGAAGACGUCGUUGCAUCCGGCAGUCCGGCACGACAGCGCACAACGGAGGUUCACACAUAGAAAACUGCUUAUUGGCCUUCUAAAAAAUGUCGGUUACCUCCACACUAAUGUCGGAGACAUCAAGUGCGAAAUCGUGCGUGAUGAAGUGCUUAACGCAUCAGAGGUUAGUUAUAUAGGGCUUAUCGGAUAGCGAUGACAGUGGUAAAGAGCUAUUGGUUAUACCUGGCGACUAGGAUUCCAUCGUCUUCCUGUUAGUCUUUGUACCUUUUUCAAGUCAACGUACUGCGGCUAUGGUAUGUAUCUAGCCAUCAUUGGUGAUAGGGGUCGGAAACGCCGGUGACAAACACUAAAAUGGUGAUUGUGGAUGGAGUGUAGUCGCCUAGAACAAUUGUUGGCAGACAUGUUUAUUUCUUUUACUGAUGGGUUUAUCAUAUACUAAAGUGUAGCUGGCUUGACGUAUAUAUAGUCGUUGUAUGCUGAAAGAAUUAGGGCUUUUGAAAUCUGAAUUUGAUUGACCCACUUCUUUCUUCUGUUGAUCGAGUUGGUAUGCUGAUAUGCAUUCUAAGAUUGUGUACAUCGUGUUAUGUUUUCUACUUUUAAUCUGUGUCUUAUGUUUUUUUUUAAA